rnacentral:rRNA from 1 species
GAUCAUGGCUCAGGAUGAACGCUAGCUACAGGCUUAACACAUGCAAGUCGGAGGGGCAGCAUGGUCUUAGCUUGCUAAGGCCGAUGGCGACCGGCGCACGGGUGAGUAACACGUAUCCAACCUGCCGUCUACUCUUGGACAGCCUUCUGAAAGGAAGAUUAAUACAAGAUGGCAUCAUGAGUUCACAUGUUCACAUGAUUAAAGGGUAUUCCGGUAGACGAUGGGGA